rnacentral:rRNA from 1 species
UACGAAGGGUGCAAGCGUUAAUCGGAAUUACUGGGCGUAAAGGGUGCGUAGGCGGUUCGUUAAGUCUGUCGUGAAAUCCCCGGGCUCAACCUGGGAAUGGCGAUGGAUACUGGGCAGCUAGAGUGUGUCAGAGGAUGGUGGAAUUCCCGGUGUAGCGGUGAAAUGCGUAGAGAUCGGGAGGAACAUCAGUGGCGAAGGCGGCCAUCUGGGACAACACUGACGCUGAGGCACGAAAGCGUGGGGAGCAAACAGG